GUGGUGGGUGAUGGCGUGCCUUUUGAAGAAUGAGCCUGCGAGUUAGUGCUCGGUGGCGAGGUUAACCCGUGUGGGGUAGCCGUAGCGAAAGCGAGUCUGAAUAGGGCGUGGAGUCGCCGGGUCUAGACCCGAAGCGGAGUGAUCUACCCAUGGCCAGGGUGAAGCGUCGGUAAGACGUCGUGGAGGCCCGAACCCACUUCAGUUGAAAAUGGAGGGGAUGAGUUGUGGGUAGGGGUGAAAGGCCAAUCAAACUCCGUGAUAGCUGGUUCUCCCCGAAAUGCAUUUAGGUGCAGCGUGGUGUGUUUCUUACUGGAGGUAGAGCUACUGGAUGGCCGAUGGGCCCUACUAGGUUACUGACGUCAGCCAAACUCCGAAUGCCGGUAAGUGAGAGCACUGCAGUGAGACUGCGGGCGAUAAGGUUCGUAGUCGAGAGGGAAACAGCCCAGAUCGCCGGCUAAGGCCCCUAAGCGUGUACUAAGUGGAAAAGGAUGUGGGGUCGCGAAGACAACCAGGAGGUUGGCUUAGAAGCAGCCACCCUUGAAAGAGUGCGUAAUAGCUCACUGGUCAAGUGAUCCUGCGCCGACAAUGUAGCGGGGCUCAAGUACACCGCCGAAGCCGCGGCACUCCACCAUGACAUCCACAGUCGUCUACGGAUGGCUGUGUAGUGGGUGGGGUGGGUAGGGGAGCGUCCUGCAUCCGUGGAAGCGCCCGUGUGAACGAGGUGUGGAGGGUGUGGGAGUGAGAAUGCAGGCAUGAGUAGCGAAAGCAGAGUGAGAAACUCUGCCGCCGGAUGACCAAGGGUUCCUGGGCCAGGCUAUUCCGCCCAGGGUGAGUCGGGACCUAAGGCGAGGCCGACAGGCGUAGUCGAUGGACAACGGGUUGAUAUUCCCGUACCCGUGUAUCCGCGUCCAUGCUGAAUCAACUGUACUAACCAUCCAAAACCAGAUGGAUCACCUUCGGGUGACCGGAUGGGGCUGCAUGGGACCUUGGUUGGUAGUAGGCAAGCGAUGGGGUGACGCAGGAAGGUAGUGGGGCCAGUCAGUGGUUGUACUGGUGUAAGCCUGUAGGACGAACGGUAGGCAAAUCCGCCGUUCAUGUGUCUGAGAGGUGAUGCGUAGCCGUUGCGGUGAAUUCCAUGAUCCUAUGCUGCCGAGAAAAGCCUCUAGUGAGUUGGUACACGGCCCGUACCCCAAACCAACACAGGUGGUCAGGUAGAGAAUACUAAGGCGAUCGAGAGAACUGUGGUUAAGGAACUCGGCAAAAUGCCCCCGUAACUUCGGGAGAAGGGGGACCCAUCCCGGUGACCGCCCU
rnacentral:rRNA from 1 species